CUUCAAUUCUUCCCUGAAAUGGCGUUAUCAAAUGUUUAUUCUUCUUCCGUUACAGUUACACCUUAAAUGAUAUUAACAUCCGCAAUCAAUUGCAUGGCAGUAGUUCGAAAGGAUGUUUUACCAUAUAAAAAAAUCAAAUCUCUUGCAAGGAUUGGUAUGUUUCUGAGUUUCUCAAAGCUUAAUUUGUCAAAGUCCUGCUGUGAUAAUCCCCAAGAAAGGUUUCAUGUGGCUUGAAAAGAUGCGGGUAUCUAUUCCAUCCUAUGAAUAUUGUGAAGCAUUAGGUACUGGAUUGAGCAGAAAAAAAAAGUUCCAAGCAAUGGGUUUCGACUCAACAGAUGUUCAUGUUGAGCCAUGUCCAUGGCCAAUGUAAUUGUUUGGGGUACAACCUUGGUUGGAGAAGAUUCUUCAACUCUAUUAAAAAUGAAGAAGAACUUUAUCCGCAAUCACAAAUGCUGCUCCAUCCUUCAAUUGAUCACUACUUUUUUUGAUGCACUGUUUUUUUUUUUGGUUUAGCACGUGAAUCUCAAGCUAUGCUAAUUUGUUUUUACUUUUUAAGAAAACAUGGAAAAGAGGAAGCAAAAGCCUUUGUGGUGUCCGUGGAUGGAAGUUGAAUGAAGUUCAGUGUCCUUCACUUAAUAACUAUAACAUUUUCAUUAACAAUUUAUUUGUUGGAUUAGCCAGAAAAAGAGGCAAAAAGUACAGAGCGCCUCAAAAGAAGGCUCACAAAUCCCAGGUCUGUAAUUUCGUUAAGUUUUUCUCCGUCAUUCCUUUAAUCCUUUUAUCAAUUUGAGUUUUGCUUCCCAUUUAGUGGGUGUUUUUACUUUUUAAGAAAACAUGGAAAAGAGGACGUAAAAGCCUUUGUGGUGUCCGUGGAUGGAAGUUGAAUGAAGUUCAGUGUCCUUCACUUAAUAACUAUAACAUUUUCAUUAACAAUUUAUUUGUUGGAUUAGCCGGAGAAAGAGGCAAAAAGUACAGAGCGCCUCAAAAGGAGGCUCACAAAUCCCAGGAAAUCAAGUUUUUUAUUAGACAGAAAGAGUACUUGCAAAUUACACCAUACCCAGCUUUCCAAAGGCGAUGUGCACGUCGUCAAACCAUGACCUUCAAAAACAAGAGAGCUGCAUAAUGUGAGAAUUGGGAGGUCAAUCGGAUAUAUGAAAUUUUGGUUUCGUGCCCCACGCUCAGCUACAAAACAUGGCUUAUGCUUUGGGAUUUGAUAUACACAGCCGACAACACUACUUGAAUCCAUUGAAUUGCGGCGAGGAUUAAAUGCAAAGACUGAAAACAUGGACCAGGAUCCUAUUGAAAUGAGCCGAUUACGAAUGUUAUUGGACAUGAUAGUGAUCGAGAAAUUGGCACGGUGAAGCAAAAUAUAAAGAAGAAAAGAGCGCAAAAAAGAGUGUUGAGACUGUAAUUGACGAAGGAGAAAAGGCUGCCUGACCUGCCUGACAAACCGUCACGAAAAGAAGAGAAAGAGAACGCAAACAAGUAACUGACACUCGGUAAAUAACGGUAGCAAUAUGAUUUAUUGUACCUUUAGUCGUUAUUAGGCAAUUUUGCUAGAAAUGCCCUCCUGCAGUAUUUUUUUGUAUGUCCAUUGGAGAAUAAAGCAGUUUGUAUUGCUCUCUGGGUUUGAACCAUAAUUGAAGCAAAGGAGUCUAUAAAAGUCGUUUUUGCUUUUUGUGAAUCAAUUCGUCUUCAUCUCCGAUGGAUUCAGACGGAAGACAAAGUAAUUUGGGCUGGAAAAAUAUUUUCCUAGCGUAU